CCUACCGUCAUCGUGCUCAUCUCCUCCUCCUCCUUUCUGCUGAUUGUGGAGGUCUUCUCUGCUUCCUCCUUUCCUUUUUAUUUUCUCCAGCAAGCCCUUGUAGUCCCUUUCGAUUUCUUCCCCAUCUCUAGAUUUCUUUGAUUUAAAGCCUCUUUAUUUUUUUUUGUUUAUUUAUGUAGCUUUCAAUAUCCUUUCCAUCGACCACCACUCUCCUCUCAUCUGCUUGUACUUUCUCUCCUAAUUGGCCAGCGCUCUUCUCUGUGAUUUUUGGAUUUCUUGUGGUAUCAGUAUCAGCAACAAUUCUCUUUUCGCAUAAGCAAGUGACAGGUAGCAGAGAGGACGCUCAAUGAAAUAUUAUCUAGCCUUCAAAUAUUGGCUUCCCCCGGAGAGCAGCUGGGAAAUGAAGAUGUUAGUGAUUGCACUAAUUAACUAUGCAAUAGCAAUGACAAUUGAAAGUGAACUCAAAACCCAUCUCAACCCAAAUUACAAAACAUGUGCUAGAAAUAUUCGUCUUUCUAUUGGGUUAUAUGGCAAUUGUGAUACUUGUUUUGAUUAAUGUUCUCAUCUACGGUGUGUUACUUUUGAGUUUAUGGGUCUACAUGGUAUACGAGUAGCACACAAUCCAUAUCAAGACUUAUAUCUAUUAGUAGGUGAAGAUUUGCAGCACUCAAAGGAGCUAGCUGAAGAUGCAAUCCAAAGGCUAUUUGGCAGGCUGGAGUGAGCCACGGAAUCAAUCGUUUAGUUAGGUAUAUCAUUUUAGUAAAUCUGAGUUCUCUUUACAAUUUUAGAUCUCUAUAUAAAAUGUAUGAUUUUAGCAGUAAUUUUAAUGGUUUAAUUGUGAUAGUUUAGUCUAUGUUAAUGUAACAGAGUUGUAGAAAUAAUACUUAGUUGUAGGAUUUUGAAAGGGUUUUCAUUGAAAUUUUGAAAUUUAUUUAUGUAUUUCAUGAUUGAACAUGUUAGAAUAUUUGUUUAUGACAUUGUUAAA